UUCGCUUCUCGGCCUUUUGGCUAAGAUCAAGUGUAGUAUCUGUUCUUAUCAGUUUAAUAUCUGAUAUGUCCUUUAGGGCGGCAUGGUGAUGUAGUGGUUAGCGCUGUCGCAUCACAGCAAGAAGGUCCUGGUUCGAGCCCUGUGGCCGGCGAGGGCCUUUCUGUGCGGAGUUUGCAUGUUCUCUGCGUGGGUUUCCUCU